rnacentral:rRNA from 1 species
UACAGAGGGUGCAAGCGUUAAUCGGAAUUACUGGGCGUAAAGCGCGUGUAGGCUGCUCGGAAAGUCGGAUGUGAAAGCCCUGGGCUCAACCUAGGAAGUGCAUUCGAAACUUCCAAGCUGGAGUGCUGGAGAGGAAGGCGGAAUUCUCGGUGUAGAGGUGAAAUUCGUAGAUAUCGAGAGGAACACCGGUGGCGAAGGCGGCCUUCUGGACAGUAACUGACGCUCAGGCGCGACAGCGUGGGGAGCAAACAGG